ensembl:lncRNA
CCCAGAUCUAACGUACAUUUACAAGCAGAAAGGACAUAAAGAAACCAGUUAAAUACCAUCACAAUAAGUAAAGAAAUGAGUAAAGAAUAUAUGAUGAUCACAUUGCCCACACCAAGAUUUUCUUGAAAGUUAAAGGAAGUACUAUUAAAUUCUUCUUUGCAGGGUGGCGUAUAAACUAGAACAGUCCCAUGUAAACUGUAAAGUUUAUUACUCAGAAUAUAAAUAUUCUGAAAGGCAACUGAUCUGUUUUUCAUAAAUUAAUAGUAUAAGAAAAAAAAAGAGGGGCUUAGUAGAUAAAUGUAAUGACUAGAUAUUGAUUUCUGGUUUUGUGGAUGUAUUUUGUGGAUAUGUUUUACAAAAACAGUGUAAAAAGACAUUGUGGAGACAAGCAGAGAAAUUGGAUUAUGUAUGCCCUGAGUAUUUAAUCAUACCAAAGAAUUAGUGAUAACUUUAUUAGGUGUUAUAAUGGUAUUAUAGUUUGUGAGAUUAUGUUUCCAUGUUUGUUAGACAUACAUACUGAAGAAUGUAGGAAUGAAAUGGAGGCUUGGAUUUGCUAUACUACCACAAUAGGGCAGAUUAAUAAAUUAUGGAGAAUAAUUGACAAUUGUUGAAUCUGGGUAGUAGAUAUGCAGAUUUACCAAACAGUUCACUCUACUUUUGUGUACAUUUAAAUAUUUCCUGACAAACCUCAAAAAAACAGGUCAUGUUAAAUCUCCAGUGUUGCUCUUAUGUCCUAAAGGAUGAAGAACCAUUAUUCUCUUUGCAAUGAACUCAGGAGUGUAUUGCACUUUUAGAAGUGAUGGGACCUCAAGGGACUAUAUCCUGGCACUUUGUUGGAUCUCCAUAUGUCCUUUUCAUUACUCCUGACACAAGGAAUCCAGGACUAUAACUCUCUUUCAACCAGCAAAAGUUUAAAUGCAAUAACUGACUUUGAAUUCUAGCCCCAUGGAUACAUGUGAGAACACUGACUCAUUUCUUUAAGCUUAGGCUUCCUAUAACGUAAAGCGUUAAAUGAGUACGGUACAGGGUUUCUGGAAAACUUUGAGGUAAUGUGUACGCAACACUCACGAAGGGCUUGGCGUGUAUCAGGUGAUCCUGCCUUACUUCACUUCCAGCAGAGUCAUGACCAACACGUAGAUACUUCUGAGUCACACAGGUUAUUGAAGAAAGCAACCACAUGACAAGUGACUGCCCACUGAUUUCAGAUCACAUGACUUUUAUUGAAAAUAUAUGUAUCUACCCUGCUUUUGGCAAUGUAUCCUCAAGUCCAGUAAAGGUCAUUUUGGGAACAAACUUGGCUCCUGUCAAAUUAAAAGGAAUUACAACCUCUAAAAAUAUCAAUGCUGUUUUUGGAAUCGAUUUAAAAAAAAACACACACACACACACACAUACACACAUCGAGGGUCCCAACACUGCCGUAUAGCAGACUAAAAUUAUUAACAGCAUAAACAAUAUCCCAUGGACUUUUUCUAAUGCUAUAGAUAUUAUUCUUUCUUAAUCAAACUGAAAUUUAAAAUAAGAGACAAAUAAAAAGAACCCAGAAAGGGCACAUAUUUCAUUUCUAUUAAAGUUUAAAAUAGGCCCUUUGAGGAAAGUAUCAACUCAAUUUCUCCUAAUUAAUCAGAGGGUCGAGUUGUGCUUACCUGAUGGUAUUCCUCCUCUUUUACCUGAGCACCAAAAGUUGUUGCUUAUCACCUUGGCAUCACCAAGAUAGGUGUUUGUCUCAGACGUGGCUCUGAAAGACGCUAUUUCUGGGAUACUGCAUUAUUUCUGUAGCUGUUGUUAUCGCUGAGACUCAAGCGGUCCCCAUUUCCUAAGAAACUUCCCCGAGACAGGAAUUGGGGUGAGGAGCAUGUUUACAUGCACUGGGUUUGCCCAUCCCUCCACGUGCCCCAUUAUAAACUAGGGGUUACCUGCUCCCUCUUCAAGGAGAAACACUGGGCUCUUCCUACUUCUCUGAAAAUAAAAGAGCCGUCUGAGAAAUACUAAGAAGAAGACAUUCACAGAGUGUUCUGGAUCUUUUAUCCAAACCUGGGGACUGAGUGGGAGAGAGUGGAGCUUCGUAGAGGUGAACACAUGGGCUUUGAAGAGCACGGAGGUCUUAUCUGGGACUGCUCUGAACCUGAGGGUUGCCAGUGCUGUGUAGUCAGCGGCAGGUGGAGGAACGCCUCCCUGAGCUGGGGUUUACAGUUUAACAAGUGGCCCAGAGCACUUGUGCUCAGCUCUUAAUGUGAACUUAUCAGACAAGUAUGCUUUUAUUCUUUGGAAAAGCAAAAAUGGAGAGAUACAGAAGCAAAAAGAGAAUAAUUUAACAACCAUCUGUGUACCUGCCAUUUGUAAUUAACAGAGGAGAAAGGUUGGGCUCAGGAAGCAAGAGUUACUUUCCCAGGAUCACACAGCAUGUACAUGGCUAAACGGGAAUUGAUAGCCCGCUCAUGUUCCUCCAGGACCAGGGCCUGUAAUCAGUAAGUUCUCUUAUGUCAGCAGGAUCACGUGAAGUUGCUAAAAUGGCUUCUACUGCACGUGGCACAAGCUGAGUCCUCCCCAGGGUCAAGCAGUCCCUCACUCAAGACAAGCUGUGCAAGCCCCUUACGUCCCCUUGGUGCUUUUUCAACAUAUCAGCUGCACAAGCUGAGUUCUGC